rnacentral:rRNA from 1 species
GACUAACGCUGGCGGCGUGCCUAAUACAUGCAAGUCGAACGGGAUUCUUUGAUCAGCUUGCUGAGAGAAGGAUCUAGUGGCGGACGGGUGAGUAACGCGUGGGAAUCUGCCUCUUACUGGGGGAUAACAGUGGGAAACUACUGCUAAUACCGCAUAAGAUCUUCGGAUGAAAGGUGCAACUGCACCGGUAAGAGAUGAGCCCGCGUCCCAUUAGCUAGUUGGUGAGGUAAAGGCUCACCAAGGCGACGAUGGGUAGCCGGCCUGAGAGGGUGAACGGCCACACUGGGACUGAGACACGGCCCAGACUCCUACGGGAGGCAGCAGUGGGGAAUCUUGCGCAAUGGGCGAAAGCCUGACGCAGCAACGCCGCGUGGGGGAAGAAGGCUCGUCGGGUUGUAAACCCCUUUCAGUAGGAACGAAAUGACGGUACCUGCAGAAGAAGGUGCGGCCAACUACGUGCCAGCAGCCGCGGUAAAAUCAACGUGUAA